rnacentral:rRNA from 1 species
GAUGAACGCUGGCGGCGUGCCUAAUACAUACAAGUCGAGCGGACCAAAGAGAGCUUGCUCUCUGAGGUUAGCGGCGGACGGGUGAGUAACACGUGGGUAACCUGCCUGUAAGACGGGGAUAACUUCGGGAAACCGAAGCUAAUACCGGAUGAUAAAGAGAAACGCCUGUUUCUUUUUUGAAAGUCGGCCUUGUGCUGACGCUUACAGAUGGGCCCGCGGCGCAUUAGCUAGUUGGUGAGGUAACGGCUCACCAAGGCGACGAUGCGUAGCCGACCUGAGAGGGUGAUCGGCCACACUGGGACUGAGACACGGCCGAGACUCCUACGGGAGGCAGCAGUAGGGAAUCUUCGGCAAUGGACGAAAGUCUGACCGAGCAACGCCGCGUGAGCGAUGAAGGCCUUCGGGUCGUAAAGCUCUGUUGUCAGAGAAGAACAAGUACCGGAGUAACUGCCGGUACCUUGACGGUACCUGACCAGAAAGCCACGGCUAACUACGUGCCAGCCGCCGCCGUAAUAC